rnacentral:rRNA from 1 species
AAACAUUGAUAGUACACUACACCCACUAUCCGCCCGGGAACUACGAGCACCAGCUUAAAACCCAAAGGACUUGGCGGUGCUUUAGAUCCACCUAGAGGAGCCUGUCCUAGAACCGAUAACCCCCGUUCAACCUCACCUUUCCUUGUUUUUUCCGCCUAUAUACCGCCGCCGUCAGCCUACCCUGUGAAGGCCCAGCAGUAAGCAAAAUCAGUACAACUCAAAACGUCAGGUCGAGGUGUAGCGCAUGGAAAGGGAAGAAAUGGGCUACAUUCCCUCAGUAUCAGGGAACACGAAAAAUGUGCUGAAACGUACAUUCAAAGGAGGAUUUAGCAGUAAGAAGAAAAUAGAGUGUUCU